rnacentral:lncRNA from 1 species
AGUGAAAAGCAUUGAGCUCAAAUGUUGUGAAAAGAAAAAUUCAUGAGAAAAAGAAAAGAAAAGAAGAAAAGCAUGAAGAAGAGCUCGAUGCAAAAGAAAAAGAAAAGGGAAAAGUUGGGAAUGAGAGAGAUUGGUAAGGAAGAGAGUUGUGCUUAAUUGUUGAAUAUUUUAAUAGCUUUCUUGACUCAAGGAUUUUGUAUUCUAGAAAAACCAAUUCUUUCUUGUUAGCCCAACCUCAGUACAAGCCUUGGAAAAGUCCUUUUGAUGGCAUUUGCAUGUAAGGAUGUUGACUGUUUGAGAUGAAUGGCAAUUUUGUUUCAUGUGACUUGUGAACAAUAGAGAGUUGGAGUGUCACCUUAAACACUUGAG